GGGGAUGGGCUGUGGCUCAAUGGUGCAGACUUGGCUUUGGAUGCGGAAGGUCCCAGGUUCAAACCCUGACAUCUCCA
rnacentral:tRNA from 1 species